UGCGCAGGCGGAAAAUUAAGUCAGUGGUGAAAUCUCACAGCUCAACUGUGAAACUGCCAUUGAUACUGGUUUUCUUGAAUGCGGUUGAGGUAGGCGGAAUACGUUAUGUAGCGGUGAAAUGCUUAGAUAUAACGUAGAACACCAAUUGCGAAGGCAGCUUACUAAACCGUUAUUGACGCUGAGGCACGAAAGCGUGGGGAGCGAACAGGAUUAGAUACCCUGGUAGUCC
rnacentral:rRNA from 1 species